UGAGAGCACAAAAUCGAACGUACUGGGAAUAGUGAUGCGCCGUUUACUAUCGAUAACAACUCAAUUGUUUUACCGACAUGUCUUUGUAGUCUCUUUUGUUUUAUUUAAAGGAGAAUGGGCCCAAGAGAUGUAUUUUUUCCCUCGGCAUUCAUCCAGUUCACGACGGCGAACAUUUUUUGUUAUAUACGCGGUAUCUACGUCGAAAUAAACAAUGAAACGAACGUAGGUCGGGUGCUUCACACAGGUUGUCGUGUUCCAGACCGAGACCCCGCUUAAAGCUGUGAAGGUGUAAGGCCGCCGCCUUCAACCCUCGAGACUGCGUUACCGUCUCAUAGAACUAGUGGUUCAAAAAGAAGGAAAAGAUAUCAAUUUACACAAAAAUAUUCGACAUUCCAUUCAGCUCUACAUAUUAUUUUUUUUAUUACACUUCUUGCGCCAAAUA